GCCAGCGUAGUGUAGUGGUUUGGACGCUGGACUAUGACUCUAGAGACCAGGGUCCGAGUCCCAACAUGAUA